rnacentral:lncRNA from 1 species
CCGCCCUGCCAGCUCCGAAGCCCGUGUCCUUGUCCUAAGCUCACCUCUCCUCCCUUUUCUGCCCCCAGCUGGCCCCAGGCAGAGGAGCAGAGACAGAAAGUGCAUGAGAUUGAACUUGGCAGGAUCUUUCUGGAAGCUGUGCUGAGGAUGGGGAGGACAGGAAGAAGCAGCUGGGGAGAAUUUGGUGAGCCUGACCCCUGCAGGUUAGGAAGACUCUCUGUCUGCUGUGACAUUGGACUGUAUUUUCCAGAAGCCCAUGCAAGUUGGUUGGCCCCUGGAGACUUCCUCUGCCUAGAAAAAUCGGUCUCUAAGAAGCCUCUACUGCAAAAAAAAAAAAAAAAGUAAUAAAUGUGCUACUUAAGGGUUAAAAAAAGUCAACACUGGCUAUGGAAUCAUUUUGGGUGCACUAUCUCUAAAUCACUUGACCAUUUCUAAAAUAUGGCCUUGGAUAAGACUUCUGAAUAAUGACUGUACAUAGAGUUUCGUGCAUUUGACAAAACAAAACAAACAAAACAAAUGAAAGGUUGCAAAAUUUGUCCCUGACCUGAAUUUUAAAAUUUAUUUUAUGACUCUUCUGAACCAGCUCAUUACUUUACUACUGGGAUAUCUCAUAUCAUCCCUGAGAGGGGCCAGCAGGCGAUUUUGCCCCAUCACAAAACAUCGAUGAUAACAAUUUUACAACCUGUGGGACUUUAGGAAGAAAAUGAUGGAAGGCAUUAAAAUAGACUAUAGAAAUGUGAUUCAGAUUGCUAGGAAAGAGUUCACCAACUGCUAUAUAACAAGCUAUAUAACUAUUUUGAUUACACCCCAAAUAUUCCCAAUCCUU